GAAGACGGGCCUAAAGCUGAAGUCAAAGGGCACUUCUUCGUCGGACGGCCGUGAUCGCAUCUCCUCUCUCGUGAUGGCAUCACUGCAGGAGAGGCGCCUUCUUCCAGAAAGUGGCUGCCGGCAAAGCUAUUAGUCAAAAGCACGAUAGGAAAAGGGCGUGGGUCAAGUUGACGUUGGAGAAUAUGCUUUAAACCUAUAAACAAAGGCAAAUGGUGGGAUAGAGUACGGAUCAUUCGCUGGAAUCAAGACGCUUCCAUGAUUGAUUAAUCGAAGAUACACUGAUGUUCCCGGCCUUCUUGAGAAGUCAAUCAACGGAUUGGUUCAUCCUUCUCCAGGUACAUCUUCUCGGUGCUCUCUCGCUUGCUAAGUUUUAUAUGUGUUUUAUUGUUUCAAAAAGAUAAAACUUUAUGCAUUUUGCUUCUCAAAUUAUCUUUGUUCUCCAUCAUUGGUAAUCUCUCUCUUGCUGCUCUUUUACAUGUCUUUUCUUUUUUUUUCCUUAUAGCUAGAAUCUACACAUCAUUCAGUUCUCAUUUUAUUUUUCCUGUUUAAGUAUAUUUCUUAACUCGAUCAACACAUACUCUAGAGAAAAACAACAUUAUAACUCGAUCAACACAUACUCUAGAGAAACACAUCUUGCUGCUUAGGCUAGAGAUUGGACACACUGAUGCUGCUUGAACUCAAUUGAUCUGAUAUGCUGCUUUACUUUGUUUUAUCUAGGAAUUGGGUAGUUGCUCUUGAUAUGUGAAAAAUAGUUGAAAUGAUUUAAAUUUCCUGAAACCAGUAGUCUGAAGUAUAAUUAUCUGUAGGCUCAGAACAUGUACUUGAUUAGUAGAAUUAUCAACAAUAUCUUCUUAGUUGCAAACUAUGAGUUAUUCAACACAACCAGUAGUGUGCGGGUGUCGACCUCAAUCUGUCUACUCUCACAGUCUAUUGGCCCUGAAGGCUGAGGAAUUGGCUACGUAGGAGACAAGGGUUGUCCUAGCACGAGACAUAGUAUACUAGUAGAGUACCUGGGA